CUCUUCACAUUAAGAGCUUGUUCAGGUAACAUCACCACCACUCCGGAGUCCCUCAACAAUGGACAUCACCUCUACCUCUGGUGUCUGCCUUUCUGCCUUCCUUUGACAUCUACUGAUUAACUGAUCUCCUGAAUCUCGGAGGCCUCUCUGCCUUUUGAAUCUGUCCCAGGCAUGCAAGAAAUCAUUCGUCCUUCAGCAAGAGGAGGAACGAGGGAAGAGGAAGAAAAGCCUCUCUAGCAACAAGACCCGGGCCUCCAGUGCUGUUCUGUCUACUGAAAUGCUGCCUGGCUGAAGACUAGGAGGGAGCAGGGCAUGUCUGUGGGUUUUGCCUUUCAUGGGGUCUUGAAUGACCAGAGAGAGACUGGAUGUGGCUCUCUCUCGGGCUCCAGGGGGAAAUUUGAGAUAUUUCCCCUCUCUUUUCUCCCUCUACAACUCCUCACUUUUUUUCUUUUUACAUUCUUCCUUUACUGCUCUAUUCACAAUGGUAAGAUUACAGGUGUUGCUGUUUGAUUUCCUUCUCAGUCCCCUCCCUUUUUACCCUCCUACAUACUCCCCCUCCCUCUUUUGUCCCACAUUUUUACCUUCGCCCACCGCCAUACAACCUUUCCCGCUCUCGCAACCCACUAAUCCCAUGACAUUUGCAUCAAGUAAUGCUUGAUUUGCUUGAUUCAGAGAAAAACCUUUUCUUUAAGUUUGUUCUGACAAUGGAGGCUAUAUAUUUUGAACAUGAAGAAAGAAUUCAAACAGGAUUUUACUUGUAGACUACAAUGAAUUAAAUCAAAUCUCUACUACUGAAAGUAAUGUGGAUACUUUACAUAAAAGGGCUAAUGUAAUCAGACAAUAUGUAUUUGGUGAAAUAACACAAGACCAAUUUUGAAAUGCUACAAUGGUGCAGGAACGGUGUGAAUUGUGCAUACAGUGCAUACAGUGCAUACAGUUUGUACGUAGGAUGUUAUGUAACGUAUAAUGUUUGCCGAGAAGUGUCAUUGAGGGCAUUCAAUGUUGGUGGCAGUUUGCCAAUGUGGCAAUGAUAAGGUGAUAUUGAGGCAUAUUAGUCGAGACAUGGGACUAAUCAUCUUCUGAAAUUCCUGCCAUUGUGGUACUCCAGAAUACUACAUUACCUGCAUAAUACAGUAGCGUUUUGUUACAGCUGCGGCCUGACUUUGCGAGGGCCCAGUGGCCUACCAUACUUUGUUUUAGCUAACAGCGCAGGUGCAUAACUUCAAGGAAUCUUUGUAAAACCACAGCUUAUUAAAUUAUAGUUUAUGUUCUUGGAUCAUAAAAAAGCCCAGUUGUGAUGUGUUUAGAUAAUUAUUAACAAUGACUUAGCCUACUGAUGUGGUUGCAUAAUUAUAGAAUAAAAACAUCAAAGAAAUCCGAAAGGGUUUGAUAAACACAGCAGUGCUUUUCUGGAUCCACCUGUAUGGUAGCCUCCUCUAUUUACACUGUCCGCAUCUGUGCUGCUCUUGUAAAUGAAAUAUUGAUAUUUGGAUGGCCAUCUCCAUCUUACGAGGUAGUUUUGGAUGUUAUUACUCCCUCUAAUACUGCCUGGUAAUGAUGAUGAUGACCCUCUGCAGGCAUCAUAGACAAAAACACAUAACACAGAAACACAAUCCCACGUAGCACUGUAUUUUCUUAGCCCUUGAUCCUGGGUAGUAAUAUCUUGUGAGUUGCUGAUAGGUUUGAAUAGUAUUCUAAGGGUUGUGUAGACGUAGAUAUGCUCUGAGGUUAUAUGCUCUGAGGUUGGAUAUAGUUAGUGUGCUUUUGGUGACCUUCACUUUCUUUGGCUUCCAAAGCACGUCUUACCUGACAGUGCUGGGCUGUACACAGGUGUUCUAACACUGUCUGGUAAUGAUGUCCCCUGAAAGCCCCUCAAACAACCACACCAUCUCAACAACCAAUAUAGGUGCAAUGGCACUGUCACAUACCUGAAGCAGGACGUAUUCGCAGUUAAAUAGUUUUUUACUGUUUAGAAAUUGUUUUCAGUCAACUCUAUGUUUUAGAGAGAGACCCUCUAUGUCUGUUGGCAUUGCCAUUACUCAGGUGUAGACUCUAAGUCACGUGAACUCCAGUUCAAAGUUCAGAACAUGGAAAGAUGGACUACUGUAGUAGGGUAGUUUUUUUAAAGGACUACAUAUGUGAAUAAGACGAUGAUGGAACAACUGGCUGAAGGAAGCAUCCAAAACAGGUGACACCAGACUUUAAAGGCUGACAGAGAUAGUCCCAUAGGAAAAGAGGAUGAGGUAAAAGUCCUAAACGUCAUCUGUGGUGAGCACCUUCCGCCUAACCCCCCAUUUGUGAAAAGUUGUUCCUCCCUGCCUCCUGCCCUUUGUGUAGAUUUUCCACCCCACCCAGUAGUUAAAGAAUACCAGUGAAAUGACUGUUGCAGUAAGAGCCACUUCCUCUUCCCCUCCCCCAGUCAGAGCUGAAUCUGGGCCUUUGUUGGCUCGUGAUUGGUCCAGCGGCCCUACUGUACCUGUGUGGCAUAUUGUGCAGCUGACACCUGAGAUCUGUGUGAGAAAAAUAAACACAACUACCUCUAUGGCUCUCCCGCUCUCACUUUCUCUUCAUUUCUCUCUCUCCUCUUCUCCAGUGACAUCCGGUGGCAUUAGCUGAAUCUGAUUAUUGCAUUGAAACUAAAAUGAGAGGUUGAUUCACUAUCGUUGAAGUUGUUUUUUUCAUUACUCUCAACCAGUUAUAACUCUCAACUUAUUGCCCUAUUCAACACCAUUAUGAUUGUCAAGGUAAAACAAAGGUAUACAAAGAAACAGAGUUCUCAAACUGUGUGUUCUGUAACAAGAGGUUGGCUGUACAAUUGAGUGGAAAGCGGACACAAAAGCAUUAACUGAUGAAGGUGUUUGUCAAGAGUUGUUCAUCUGAGUUCUGGUUUAACAACACACAAUAAUUUAAUCACAGCUUUGUGUACUCAUUCUGAACUCUGAAAUUGUAAUGUCAUCAUUUAUUUGCAUGUCCCAUUAAAGAUCAAAUAAUUUAAA